rnacentral:rRNA from 1 species
UACGGAGGGUGCAAGCGUUAAUCGGAAUUACUGGGCGUAAAGCGUGCGCAGGCGGUUUGUUAAGUCUGUUGUGAAAUCCCCGAGCUCAACUUGGGAAUUGCAAUGGAUACUGGCAGGCUGGAGUAUGGUAGAGGCGGGUGGAAUUCCGGGUGUAGUGGUGAAAUGCGUAGAGAUCCGGAGGAACACCAGUGGCGAAGGCAGCCUUCUGGGCCAACACUGACGCUCAUGCACGAAAGCGUGGGGAGCAAACAGG